UACAGAGGUCCCAAGCGUUGUUCGGAUUUAUUGGGCGUAAAGGGUGCGUAGGCGGCGGAGUAAGUUGGGUGUGAAAUCCCGGGGCUCAACCUCGGAAUUGCAUUCAAUACUGCUUCGCUAGAGUACUGGAGAGGAGGCUGGAAUUUACGGUGUAGCAGUGAAAUGCGUAGAUAUCGUAAGGAAGGCCGGUGGCGAAGGCGGGUCUCUGGACAGUUCCUGACGCUGAGGCACGAAGGUCAGGGGAGCAAACGGG
rnacentral:rRNA from 1 species